UGUAUAUUCCCUCCGUCCGGAAUUACUUGUCGCGGAAAUGGAUGAAAAUGAAUGUAUCUAGAACUAAAUUAUGUCUAGAUACAUUCAUUUCUCCGACAAGUAUUUUCGGACGGAGGGAGUACAUG
rnacentral:pre_miRNA from 1 species